rnacentral:rRNA from 1 species
AGGACGAACGCUGGCGGCGUGCCUAACACAUGCAAGUGGAGCGACGGACCGGGGCUUGCCCCGGGGCCAAGCCGCGAACGGGUGAGUAACACGUGGGUUACCUGCCCCGAUGACCGGGACAACCCGAGGAAACUCGGGCUAAUACCGGAUGUGACCGAAAGGUGAAAGGAAGCUUCGGCCUCCGCAUCGGGAUGGGCCCGCGGCCCAUUAGCUUGUUGGUGAGGUAAAAGCUCACCAAGGCUUCGAUGGGUAGCUGGUCUGAGAGGACGAUCAGCCACACUGGGACUGAGACACGGCCCAGACUCCUACGGGAGGCAGCAGUGGGGAAUCUUGCGCAAUGCGCGAAAGCGUGACGCAGCAACGCCGCGUGGGGGAAGACGGCCUUCGGGUUGUAAACCCCUUUCAGUUGGGACGAAGCUCUGUCGGUUAAUAGCCGGUUGGAGUGACGGUACCUUCACAAGAAGCCCCGGCUAACUACGCGCCAGCAGCCGC